rnacentral:rRNA from 1 species
GAGGCAGCAGUGGGGAAUAUUGCACAAUGGGCGCAAGCCUGAUGCAGCCAUGCCGCGUGUAUGAAGAAGGCCUUCGGGUUGUAAAGUACUUUCAGUCGUGAGGAAGGUGUUAAGGUUAAUAACCUUAGCAAUUGACGUUAGCGACAGAAGAAGCACCGGCUAACUCCGUGCCAGCAGCCGCGGUAAUACGGAGGGUGCGAGCGUUAAUCGGAAUUACUGGGCGUAAAGGGCACGCAGGCGGUUAAUUAAGUUGGAUGUGAAAUCCCCGGGCUUAACCUGGGAAUGGCAUUCAAGACUGGUUAGCUAGAGUCUUGUAGAGGGGGUAGAAUUCCAUGUGUAGCGGUGAAAUGCGUAGAGAUGUGGAGGAAUACCGGUGGCGAAGGCGGCCCCUGGGACAAAGGCUGACGCUCAUGUGCGAAAGCGUGGGGAGCAAACAGGAUUAGAUACC